AUUGAACGCUGGCGGCAGGCCUAACACAUGCAAGUCGAGCGGGGUUUUCGGACCUAGCGGCGGACGGGUGAGUAAUGCGUAGGAAGCUACCCGAUAGAGGGGGCUACCAGUUGGAAACGACUGUUAAUACCGCAUAAUGUCUACGGACCAAAGUGUGGGACCUUCGGGCCACAUGCUAUCGGAUGCGCCUACGUGGGAUUAGCUAGUUGGUGAGGUAAUGGCUCACCAAGGCGACGAUCCCUAGCUGGUUUGAGAGGAUGAUCAGCCGCACUGGAACUUAGAGCCGGUCCAGACUCCUACGGGAGGCAGCAGUGGGGAAUAUUGGACAUGGGCGCAAGCCGGAUCCAGCCAUGCCGCGUGUGUGAAGAAGGCCUUCGGGUUGUAAAGCACUUUCAGUAGGGAGGAAGCGUUGUGUGUUAAUAGUACACAGCGUUGACGUUACCUACAGAAGAAGCACCGGCUAACUCUGUGCCAGCCGCCGCCGUAAUAC
rnacentral:rRNA from 1 species